ACCCUCUAAUUACAAUUUAAAUAUUAUAAAAUGUAGUAUUUGUUUUUAUCAGUGUAAUAUCUGAUAUGUAGGUCAUCGACCCCACUUGAUAUUAAAUUUUAUUUUUUAUGAGGAAAAAUUCAUUAUCUUAGUUUAGAGAUGUGGUUUUUCAUGCAUCGCUUUGAAUUUCCACUACUGUUGCUACAACUUACGCAUUCCUC